UACGUAGGGUGCGAGCGUUAAUCGGAAUUACUGGGCGUAAAGCGUGCGCAGGCGGUUUUGGAAGCCAGAUGUGAAAUCCCCGGGCUUAACCUGGGAAUGGCAUUUGGGACUGCAAGGCUUGAGUGCGGCAGAGGAGAGUGGAAUUCCUGGUGUAGCGGUGAAAUGCGCAGAUAUCAGGAAGAACACCGGUGGCGAAGGCGGCCCACUGGAUCGGUACUGACGCUGAGGUGCGAAAGCGUGGGGAGCAAACAGG
rnacentral:rRNA from 1 species